rnacentral:rRNA from 1 species
AACCUUACCUACCCUUGACAUACAGUGAAUUUUGCAGAGAUGUAGAUGUGUCUUCGGGAACACUGAUACAGGUGCUGCAUGGCUGUCGUCAGCUCGUGUCGUGAGAUGCUGGGUUAAGUCCCGUAACGGGCGCAACCCUUAUCCUUAGUUGCCAGCACGUAAAGGUGGGAACUCUAAGGAGACUGCCGGUGACAAACCGGAGGAAGGCGGGGAUGACGUCAAGUCAUCAUGGCCCUUACGGGUAGGGCUACACACGUGCUACAAUGGCCGGUACAGAGGGGAGCGAAAGGGUGACCUGGAGCAAAUCUUAAAAAGCCGGUCGUAGUCCGGAUUGGAGUCUGCAACUCGACUCCAUGAAGUCGGAAUCGCUAGUAA